UACAGAGGGGGCAAGCGUUAUUCGGAAUUAUUGGGCGUAAAGAGCUCGUAGGCGGUUUGUCGCGUCUGCCGUGAAAGUCCGGGGCUCAACUCCGGAUCUGCGGUGGGUACGGGCAGACUAGAGUGAUGUAGGGGAGACUGGAAUUCCUGGUGUAGCGGUGAAAUGCGCAGAUAUCAGGAGGAACACCGGUGGCGAAGGCGGGUCUCUGGGCCGUAACUGACGCUGAGGAGCGAAAGCGUGGGGAGCGAACAGG
rnacentral:rRNA from 1 species